ACGACCUUACUUGAACAGGAUCUGUUCUAUAGGUUCGUACAACUGUCUCUUAGAACUCUAACGAGACAGGCACAAAAGUCUGGUUGAUGAUGAUUCAGGACCUCAGGAUCGGAGCGUGAUUAACGGUGGGGGUCUCUCGCUGUAGGGGAUCGUUCUCAGCUGAUGGUGCCCAUCGACUGGGGCGAUCCUGGGGUUGUCUGACAGACC